CCAGGCUAAUACCGCAUACGUCCUACGGGAGAAAGGGGGCUUCGGCUCCCGCUAUUGGAUGAGCCUAUGUCGGAUUAGCUAGUUGGUAAGGUAAUGGCUUACCAAGGCAACGAUCCGUAGCUGGUCUGAGAGGAUGAUCAGCCACAUCGGGACUGAGACACGGCCCGAACUCCUACGGGAGGCAGCAGUGGGGAAUAUUGGACAAUGGGGGCAACCCUGAUCCAGCCAUGCCGCGUGUGUGAAGAAGGCCCUCGGGUUGUAAAGCACUUUCAGCGAGGAAGAACGCCUAUCGGUUAAUACCCGGUAGGAAAGACAUCACUCGCAGAAGAAGCACCGGCUAACUCCGUGCCAGCAGCCGCGGUAAUACGGAGGGUGCAAGCGUUAAUCGGAAUUACUGGGCGUAAAGCGCGCGUAGGUGGCUUGAUAAGCCGGUUGUGAAAGCCCCGGGCUCAACCUGGGAACGGCAUCCGGAACUGUCAGGCUAGAGUGCAGGAGAGGAAGGUAGAAUUCCCGGUGUAGCGGUGAAAUGCGUAGAGAUCGGGAGGGAUACCAGUGGCGAAGGCGGCCUUCUGGACUGACACUGACACUGAGGUGCGAAAGCGUGGGUAGCAAACAGGAUUAGAUACCCUGGUAGUCCACGCCGUAAACGAUGUCGACCAGCCGUUGGGUGCCUAGAGCACUUUGUGGCGAAGUUAACGCGAUAAGUCGACCGCCUGGGGAGUACGGCCGCAAGGUUAAAACUCAAAUGAAUUGACGGGGGCCCGCACAAGCGGUGGAGCAUGUGGUUUAAUUCGAUGCAACGCGAAGAACCUUACCUACCCUUGACAUCUACAGAAGCCGGAAGAGAUUCUGGUGUGCCUUCGGGAACUGUAAGACAGGUGCUGCAUGGCUGUCGUCAGCUCGUGUUGUGAAAUGUUGGGUUAAGUCCCGUAACGAGCGCAACCCUUGUCCUUAUUUGCCAGCGAGUAAUGUCGGGAACUCUAAGGAGACUGCCGGUGACAAACCGGAGGAAGGUGGGGACGACGUCAAGUCAUCAUGGCCCUUACGGGUAGGGCUACACACGUGCUACAAUGGCCGGUACAAAGGGCUGCGAGCUCGCGAGAGUCAGCGAAUCCCUUAAAGCCGGUCUCAGUCCGGAUCGGAGUCUGCAACUCGACUCCGUGAAGUCGGAAUCGCUAGUAAUCGUGAAUCAGAAUGUCACGGUGAAUACGUUCCCGGGCCUUGUACAC
rnacentral:rRNA from 1 species